UGCGUUGUCCUGGCAAGCUUCCACAUCAAGCAAGUUCAUCUCAAAGCUCUUAUACAAACAAUAGAAUUCAAAAGUUGGAGAAUUUGCUUGGAAACCUUGUAGCUGUGCUUAAAGUAUGAUUUGCAGAAGAUCCACAAAUUAAUCAAGUCUUAGAAGCUAUAGAUCAAGAGGUACCUACAAAUGAUUCUACCGGUAAAGAUCAUCAAACUACAAACAAUCUUAGCUAGAGGCUUCAUGGAGUUGCUAUAAUUUGUUGCUUCUGAGAGAAAAAGGUAGGAGCAUGCCAAGCUUAUGAUGGAAGAAACAACUAGUUAAAACAAGAUUCCAAAUUAAUUGCUGCACAUGCAACAUUUUAAUACUACUGGGCUCUUUUUUUGUUCCAUGAUAUUACAUAUAGAAGAACCAUGUUCUAAAAACAUUCCCUUUUUUGUUCUUAAAUCUUGCCACUGUAACCUUUUUCUAGGCAAAAGUGAUGUUAAUAUGUUA